rnacentral:misc_RNA from 1 species
UUUCCGUAGGUGGACCUGCGGAAGGAUCAUUAUUGUAUAACCGAGGUGCGAGGGCUGUCGCUGACCCGAAAGGUCGUGCACGCCCGAGUGCCCUCACACACAUCCAUUUCACCCCUAUGUGCACCACCGCGUGGGUCCCCCUUUGGCUUGUUCGGAGGGGGGCUUACGUUUUCACACAAACUUUGUAUGCAGUGUAGAAUGUAUUUUUUGUUUUUGCGAUCACGCAAUCAAUACAACUUUCAACAACGGAUCUCUUGGCUCUC